rnacentral:rRNA from 1 species
AUUGAACGCUGGCGGCAUGCCUUACACAUGCAAGUCGAACGGUAACAGGUCUUCGGAUGCUGACGAGUGGCGAACGGGUGAGUAAUACAUCGGAACGUGCCUAGUAGUGGGGGAUAACUACUCGAAAGAGUGGCUAAUACCGCAUGAGAUCUACGGAUGAAAGCAGGGGAUCGCAAGACCUUGUGCUACUAGAGCGGCCGAUGGCAGAUUAGGUAGUUGGUGGGAUAAAAGCUUAACAAGCCGACGAUCUGUAGCUGGUCUGAGAGGACGAUCAGCCACACUGGGAAGGAGACACGGCACAGACUCCUACGGGAGGCAGCAGUGGGGAAUUUUGGACAAUGGGUGAAAGCCUGAUCCAGCAAUGCCGCGUGCAGGAUGAAGGCCUUCGGGUUGUAAACUGCUUUUGUACGGAACGAAAAGCCCUGGGUUAAUACCCUGGGGUCAUGACGGUACCGUAAGAAUAAGCACCGGCUAACUACGUGCCAGCCGCCGCCGUAA